rnacentral:tRNA from 1 species
GCCCGGUUAGCUCAAUCGGUAGAGCGUGAGACUCUUAAUAAGAGUUCACCCAUCUCAAGGUUGCGGGUUCGACCCCCGCAUCGGGCU